UACGAAGGGGGCUAGCGUUGUUCGGAUUUACUGGGCGUAAAGCGCACGUAGGCGGAUUUUUAAGUCAGGGGUGAAAUCCCGGGGCUCAACCCCGGAACUGCCUUUGAUACUGGAAGUCUUGAGUAUGGUAGAGGUGAGUGGAAUUCCGAGUGUAGAGGUGAAAUUCGUAGAUAUUCGGAGGAACACCAGUGGCGAAGGCGGCUCACUGGACCAUUACUGACGCUGAGGUGCGAAAGCGUGGGGAGCAAACAGGA
rnacentral:rRNA from 1 species